CAGGGCCGCCGGUGAGGCCACGCGCGGCCGGUGCGCCCAGCGACGGUGGUCGCGGCCGGGGCCAGAGCAGCUCGACGACGGUGGCUGCGCCCCUCGCCAGCAGCGAGGCGCCCUCGCGCCAUAUGGCCCCGGCAGCAUCCGGCGACGAUGGGAUGGCCCCGUUCCCUCGCUCCCCAGGCGAGGUUGUCGCCGACGAGGGGGAAUCGCAUGAGCCGCCGCCUCGAGCCGCCAUCAGCCCAGCUCGUGCCCUCUUCCCCGUUAGCCGGCCGUACGGACAUCCGCAUGUGUCGCUGCUGCUCCGCCUCUUCAUCCUCUGCAUCUAAAGGUGGAGCACGUGAACAAGACAGGCUAGGUAUUGCAGCGCCCGGGGACAAAGCGUCGAUGAUUUAGCGAGGAACUAUGGUUGACCUCAUGCACAUUCGCGUUCAAUGUUCAGAUACUGGGCAGAGGGUGCUCACCACGGUCGAUCGGGGGCCCACCGUCCCUGCAGCUUCACCUAUGUGCGCUUCUGCAGAAUCUUGGAGGAUAGUUAUAUGAGUCGAUAAGGCUGCAGCAAGGUCAAAAACAAGGAGGACAUAGCGGAAUGAAUGGAACGAACAAAAAGGCUGCCGGAGAUGCAAGGUUAAUACAACAUGUUAUUUUGGUCCUGGUUCUU